AGCUCCAAUAGCGUAUAUUAAAGUUGUUGCGGUAAAAAGCUCGUAGUUGGAUUUCUGUGGAGCACGACCGGUCGGUACUACGUACACGUAUCUGGUAUGAGCUCUGCAUCCUCUUGGGGAACGUUCCUGUGCUUCACUGCAUGGGACGGUAUUCAAGACUUUUACUUUGAGGAAAUUAGAGUGUUCACGGCAGGCAAGCGCCCUGAAUACAUUAGCAUGGAAUAAUAAUAUAGGAUUUAAGCCCUAUUUUGUUGGUUUCUAGAGCUUAAAUAAUGAUUAAUAGGGACAAUUGGGGGCAUUCGUAUUAUCACGUCAGAGGUGGAAUUCUUGGAUUGUGUUACGACGAACUACUGCGAAAGCAUUUGCCAUGGAUGUUUUCA
rnacentral:rRNA from 1 species